AAUAAGAAAAUGACUAAUUAGAUUUUUUUCUCCUGAUUUUCAGUUUUUUCCUUCUCAACAAAUUUAAAUCCAACUAAAAAUACUAAAAAUUAGGAGAAAAAAUCUAAUUUGUCAUUAUCUACUU
rnacentral:pre_miRNA from 1 species